rnacentral:tRNA from 1 species
GGGCAGUUAGCUCAGCGGAAGAGCGUUCCCUUCACACGGGAGAGGUCGUAGGUUCGAACCCUAUACUGCCCA